GUCCGCCCUUUUGUACCUGGGCGGCGCGAUCUGGAGGAGUAGGGUAUCAGCCACUUGCAGGGAAUGAGAGGAGCUGUGAGGAGGAAGGUAUGCACAAAAAGACGACAAGGAGAAAGGUGGAGUUAUCGCCGUCCAUGGCCACUAACAGAGUGAGAUAAUCGAUAUGCCAUUGACUCUCUGCGGGGACUGAAACAGAUGAAGGAUGAAGACCAGCUGAAAAGGAUUGGUACAAAGCCGCUCCCACUUCAGGUAGAUGCCUCCCACGGGCACCUGCAUAUCCAAGGUGGUUUGGCCGCUGCCGGCUCGCCGGAGGAUGCCUCGGCUGCGGAAGUAAUCUGUCAGAGUGGCCGCUCAGGUGAGCCCCCUUCCCAUCCCACCCAGUAAUCUAAAACCCGCUUCU